rfam:Candidate division WOR-1 bacterium RIFOXYB2_FTLL_48_7 rifoxyb2_full_scaffold_3940, whole genome shotgun sequence.
GGGCCUGUCGGUUAAUGGCAAACCACCGGUCUCCAAAACCGGGACUCCCCGUUCAAGUCGGGGCAGGCCCG